rnacentral:rRNA from 1 species
UACGUAGGGGGCAAGCGUUGUCCGGAAUCAUUGGGCGUAAAGAGCGUGUAGGCGGCCAGAUAAGUCCGCUGUGAAAUCUCGAGGCUCAACUUCGAGCUGUCGGUGGAAACUGUCUGGCUAGAGUCCGGAAGAGGAGAAUGGAAUUCCAGGUGUAGCGGUGAAAUGCGUAGAUAUCUGGAGGAACACCGGUGGCGAAGGCGGCAUCCUGGACCGGUAUUGACACUGAGGCGCGAAAGCCAGGGGAGCAAACGGG